rnacentral:rRNA from 1 species
AUACGGAGGGUGCAAGCGUUACUCGGAAUCACGGGGCGUAAAGCGCGCGCAGGCGGCUAUUUAAGUUGGAUGUGAAAGCCUACGGCUCAACCGUAGAACUGCAUCCAAAACUAUUUAGCUAGAGUGUGGGAGAGGAAGAUGGAAUUAGUUGUGUAGGGGUAAAAUCCGUAGAGAUAACUAGGAAUACCAAAAGCGAAGGCAAUCUUCUGGAACACUACUGACGCUGAGGCGCGAAAGCGUGGGGAGCAAACAGGAUUAGAAACCCUAGUAGUCC